rnacentral:rRNA from 1 species
GCGAAGCGGGAAGAGCUCAAAUUUAUAAUCUGGCACCUUCGGUGUCCGAGUUGUAAUCUCUAGAAGUGUUUUCCGCGUUGGACCGCGCAUAAGUCUGUUGGAAUACAGCGGCACAGUGGUGAGACCCCCGUAUGUGGUGCGGACGCCCAGCGCUUUGUGAUACACUUUCGAAGAGUCGAGUUGUUUGGGAAUGCAGCUCAAAUUGGGUGGUAAAUUCCAUCUAAAGCUAAAUAUUGGCGAGAGACCGAUAGCGAACAAGUACCGUGAGGGAAAGAUGAAAAGCACUUUGGAAAGAGAGUUAACAGUACGUGAAAUUGUUGGAAGGGAAACGCUUGAAGUCAGACUUGCUUGCCGGGCAACCGGUUUGCAGGCCAGCAUCAGUUUUCCGGGGUGGAUAAUGGUAGAGAGAAGGUAGCAGUUUCGGCUGUGUUAUAGCUCUCUACUGGAUACACCUUGGGGGACUGAGGAACGCAGUGUGCCUUACGGCGGAGGUUUCGACCUCUUCACACUUAGGAUGCUGGUGGAAUGGCUUUAAACGACCCGUCUUGA